AUGAACGCUAGCGACAGGCUUAACACAUGCAAGUCGAGGGGCAGCACAGGUAGCAAUACCGGGUGGCGACCGGCGCACGGGUGAGUAACGCGUAUGCAACUUACCUAUCAGAGGGGGAUAACCCGGCGAAAGUCGGACUAAUACCGCAUGAAGCAGGGGUCCCGCAUGGGGAUAUUUGCUAAAGAUUCAUCGCUGAUAGAUAGGCAUGCGUUCCAUUAGGCAGUUGGCGGGGUAACGGCCCACCAAACCGACGAUGGAUAGGGGUUCUGAGAGGAGGGUCCCCCACAUUGGUACUGAGACACGGACCAAACUCCUACGGGAGGCAGCAGUGAGGAAUAUUGGUCAAUGGGCGCGAGCCUGAACCAGCCAAGUCGCGUGAGGGAUGAAGGUUCUAUGGAUCGUAAACCUCUUUUAUAAGGGAAUAAAGUGCGGGACGUGUCCCGUUUUGUAUGUACCUUAUGAAUAAGGAUCGGCUAACUCCGUGCCAGCAGCCGCGGUAAUACGGAGGAUCCGAGCGUUAUCCGGAUUUAUUGGGUUUAAAGGGUGCGUAGGCGGCCUUUUAAGUCAGCGGUGAAAGUCUGUGGCUCAACCAUAGAAUUGCCGUUGAAACUGGGGGGCUUGAGUAUGUUUGAGGCAGGCGGAAUGCGUGGUGUAGCGGUGAAAUGCUUAGAUAUCACGCAGAACCCCGAUUGCGAAGGCAGCCUGCCAAGCCAUGACUGACGCUGAUGCACGAAAGCGUGGGGAUCAAACAGGAUUAGAUACCCUGGUAGUCCACGCAGUAAACGAUGAUCACUAGCUGUUUGCGAUACACUGUAAGCGGCACAGCGAAAGCGUUAAGUGAUCCACCUGGGGAGUACGCCGGCAACGGUGAAACUCAAAGGAAUUGACGGGGGCCCGCACAAGCGGAGGAACAUGUGGUUUAAUUCGAUGAUACGCGAGGAACCUUACCCGGGCUUAAAUUGCAGAUGAAUUACGGUGAAAGCCGUAAGCCGCAAGGCAUCUGUGAAGGUGCUGCAUGGUUGUCGUCAGCUCGUGCCGUGAGGUGUCGGCUUAAGUGCCAUAACGAGCGCAACCCUUGCCACUAGUUACUAACAGGUAAAGCUGAGGACUCUGGUGGGACUGCCAGCGUAAGCUGCGAGGAAGGCGGGGAUGACGUCAAAUCAGCACGGCCCUUACAUCCGGGGCGACACACGUGUUACAAUGGCGUGGACAAAGGGAUGCCACCUGGCGACAGGGAGCGAAUCCCCCAAACCACGUCUCAGUUCGGAUCGGAGUCUGCAACCCGACUCCGUGAAGCUGGAUUCGCUAGUAAUCGCGCAUCAGCCAUGGCGCGGUGAAUACGUUCCCGGGCCUUGUACACACCGCCCGUCAAGCCAUGGGAGCCGGGGGUACCUGAAGUCCGUAACCGCGAGGAUCGGCCUAGGGUAAAACUGGUGACUGGGGCU
rnacentral:rRNA from 1 species